AGCAAUGACAGAAUGAGAACUGGAUUAAGUAGAUUGGCUCUAUAACUGGUUGAAUUUCUCUACUCUUUGAAAUCCCUGUCAGCCAGAAGAAAUAUUCAGUAGCUCAUGGGUGACCUUUCACUUCCCUCAUUGGCAGCUGUUUACAAAACAGGAUCUAGAGAAGAUGACCCAGGAGUCUAAAGGGUAAAA